rnacentral:rRNA from 1 species
CACGUAGUUAGCCGUGGCUUAUUCAAGAGGUACCGUCUUCUGCUCUUCCCUCUUAAAAGAAGUUUACAACCCGAAAGCCUUCUUCCUUCACGCGGCGUUGCUGGGUCAGGCUUGCGCCCAUUGCCCAAUAUUCCCCACUGCUGCCUCCCGUAGGAGUCUGGGCCGUAUCUCAGUCUCAAUGUGGCCGGUCAACCUCUCAGUCCGGCUACUGAUCGUCGCCUAGGUGGGCCGUUACCCCGCCUACCAGCUAAUCAGACGCGAGGCCAUCUUCCAGCGAUAAAUCUUUGGUGUCUCGAUGAUGCCAUCGAAACACAUCAUGCGGUAUUAGCAGUCGUUUCCAACUGUUGUCCCCCUCUGGAAGGCAGGUUCCUCACGCGUUACUCACCAGUCCGCCACUAAGCAUUCCCUUCCAUUGUCCGAAAACUCUUUCAGGGGUGCUCCGUUCGACUUUGCAUGUGUUAAGCACGCCGCCAGCUUGCCUGACGCCAGGACUCAAACUCUCUAG